rnacentral:rRNA from 1 species
CCUACGGGAGGCAGCAGUGGGGAAUAUUGGACAAUGGGCGCAAGCCUGAUCCAGCCAUGCCGCGUGGGUGAUGAAGGCCCUAGGGUUGUAAAGCCCUUUCGGCGGGGAAGAUAAUGACGGUACCCGCAGAAGAAGCCCCGGCUAACUUCGUGCCAGCAGCCGCGGUAAUACGAAGGGGGCUAGCGUUGCUCGGAAUCACUGGGCGUAAAGCGCACGUAGGCGGAUUGCUAAGUCAGGGGUGAAAUCCUGGAGCUCAACUCCAGAACUGCCUUUGAUACUGGCGACCUAGAGUCCGGGAGAGGUGAGUGGAACUGCGAGUGUAGAGGUGAAAUUCGUAGAUAUUCGCAAGAACACCAGUGGCGAAGGCGGCUCACUGGCCCGGUUCUGACGCUGAGGUGCGAAAGCGUGGGGAGCAAACAGGAUUAGAUACCCGUGUAGUC